GGCUGGGCGGUCCACCAUUGGCUGGCACUGCCCUGGCCGGGGUUCACCUUCUGGUGAGCCAGCAUGCCCUUCGUUGGGUGAGCCGGGGAACCAGGACUUUUACUUUGAAAAAAUUAGAGUGUUUAAAGCAGGCCUAUGCUUGAAUACAUUAGCAUGGAAUAAUAGAAUAGGACCUCGGUUCUAUUUUGUUGGUUUCUAGGACCGAAGUAAUGAUUAAUAGGGAUAGUUGGGGGCAUUAGUAUUUAGUAGCUAGAGGUGAAAUUCUUGGAUUUAUGAAAGACUAACUUCUGCGAAAGCAUUUGCCAAGGAUGUUUUCAUUAAUCAAGAACGAAAGUUAGGGGAUCGAAGACGAUCAGAUACCGUCGUAGUCUUAACCAUAAACUAUGCCGACUAGGGAUCAGACGAUGUUAAUUUACUGACUCGUUUGGCACCUUAUGAGAAAUCAAAGUUUUUGGGUUCCGGGGGGAGUAUGGUCGCAAGGCUGAAACUUAAAGGAAUUGACGGAAGGGCACCACCAGGAGUGGAGCCUGCGGCUUAAUUUGACUCAACACGGGGAAACUCACCAGGUCCAGACAUAGUAAGGAUUGACAGAUUGAGAGCUCUUUCUUGAUUCUAUGGGUGGUGGUGCAUGGCCGUUCUUAGUUGGUGGAGUGAUUUGUCUGCUUAAUUGCGUUAACGAACGAGACCUUAACCUGCUAAAUAGUUAUGCCAACUCUUGUUGGUAGUCAACUUCUUAGAGGGACUGUCGGCGAUUAGCCGACGGAAGUUUUAGGCAAUAACAGGUCUGUUAUGCCCUUAGAUGUCCUGGGCCGCACGCGCGCUACACUGAUGAAGUCAACGAGUCUAU
rnacentral:rRNA from 1 species